UGAAGGAAGAUUAUCUGGAGGAAGCAUCGUCGUCGUCGUACUUUGUGGCUGGAAAUGACGAGACGAGGAUGGUUCCUCCGCCGCAGCCAAUGGAGGGGCUCCACGAAGCGGGGCCACCACCAUUCCUGACGAAGACGUUCGACGCGGUGGACGAUCCGGCCACAGACCACGUAGUGUCGUGGAGCCGAAGCGGAGCAAGCUUCGUGGUUUGGGAUCCGCACGCCUUCUCCAGAGGCCUUCUUCCAAGAUACUUCAAGCAUAACAACUUCUCCAGCUUCGUAAGGCAGCUCAACACUUACGGUUUUAGAAAGAUUGAUCCAGAUAAAUGGGAAUUUGCGAAUGAAGGGUUUGUGAGAGGGCACAGGCACCUGUUGACAAGUAUAAGGAGAAGGAAGGCGCCUCCGCCACCAAUUCAAACGCAGACUUCGCAGUCGCAGCAGGGUCACUGCCUUGAAGUAGGGCGGUUCGGAUUGGAUGAAGAGAUCGACCGGUUGAGGCGUGACAAGCAGGUUUUGAUGUUGGAGCUUGUGAGGCUAAGACAGCAGCAACAAACCACAAGAUCGUAUCUUCAGGCAAUGGAGCAGAGGCUGCAAGGUACUGAGAUCAAGCAGCAGCAGAUGAUGGCUUUCUUGGCCAAAGCAAUGAAGAACCCCGUGUUUAUACAGCAACUCAUACAGCACAAGGAGAAGAGGAAGGAGCUUGAGGAUGCCAUGACCAAGAAGAGGAGGAGGCCCAUUGAGCAAGGGCCUAGUUGCAGCGCCACUACUGUUAAGGUUGAGAAUCCACCAGAGUUUGCUGGUUAUGCUGGUGGCUUUGGAGCUUCUGAGCUUCAAAUUCUGGCUAUGGAGAUGCAAGGAUAUGGUAGAGGGAGGCGAGAGAGUACUGAACAUGAGCAUGAGCAAGAGCAAGAGCAAGAGAGGCUUGACAAGGAGCUUGAUGAUGAAGGCUUCUGGGAAGAGCUGUUCAGUGAGAAUUUUGAGGGUGAUUUGGACAUUUCACAAGAUGAAGAAGAGGAUGUUAAUGUGUUGGCCAAUCGGCUGGGUUACUUGGGUUCAAGUCCUAAGUGAAAGAAAUCAGUAUUGAAUCAAAGUAACAUUUAUUCACUAUUCUUCAUUUUAGGAGGGUUCAUCUGGUGGAUGGAGUUUCAACUUUCAACUGUUCAAGCUCAUCAUCACCUCAAUUGGGGGCAAGACAGUAAAAUCACCCCAGCCACGACAUUAUCUACUAUGGCCUAUGGGGAAUCAAAAAAAUAUUAUUUACAUCUUGGUGUUUCUAAGUUCUAACCUCUCAUUUAAUGCCCCCUUUUGUAGCACUAGCUACCUGGUAGAACCUCAAUUUUUCUCAUCACUUUGCUUAAUGUUUGGUCAUUAUUAGGUAGGUUGCAGGCGUUGAUUGGAACAAGGAUUCUGUGGUAGUGAUAGCGGUACUAUUACUCAAGAUGAUUGAGAAGAUGUAGAAUGGGUACCAAGUUGCUGAUCCUGAUCUCCCAAGAAUCACAACUGAAUGUUGUUUUAGAGUGAAGAGCCAUCAUUUGACGGUUAACCUUGUCGGUUUGAUAUUUUUUCAUCUCAUCAUCAUCCCUAUGCAUGUGUGAUACUACUUUUUCCUUUUCUUCCAUUGAUUCUACUUUUGCCAUUAGGUGGUCUUAAGAAGAAGAACAAUAACACGAUGCCACCAAUUAGAAAACGAAUUUCAUGAUGUUACAUUUUGUAGCAUGUAGUUAGGUAUCUCCAUGUGUUGAAGAUUCCCAUUUGAGGGGUCUCAAGACGAAACGUGUCGCAUUAUGGAGCAUGAUAUAGUUAUAUAAUAAUGAAAGUGAUCAUUUUUU